UAGGGAAUCUUCGGCAAUGGGGGGAACCCUGACCGAGCAACGCCGCGUGAGUGAAGAAGGUUUUCGGAUCGUAAAGCUCUGUUGUUAAGGAAGAACGGGUGUGAGAAUGGAAAGUUCAUACUGUGACGGUACUUAACCAGAAAGGGACGGCUAACUACGUGCCAGCAGCCGCGGUAAUACGUAGGUCCCGAGCGUUGUCCGGAUUUAUUGGGCGUAAAGCGAGCGCAGGCGGUUAGAUAAGUCUGAAGUUAAAGGCAGUGGCUCAACCAUUGUAGGCUUUGGAAACUGUUUAACUUGAGUGCAGAAGGGGAGAGUGGAAUUCCAUGUGUAGCGGUGAAAUGCGUAGAUAUAUGGAGGAACACCGGUGGCGAAAGCGGCUCUCUGGUCUGUAACUGACGCUGAGGCUCGAAAGCGUGGGGAGCGAACAGGAUUAGAUACCCUGGUAGUCCACGCCGUAACGAUGAGUGCUAGGUGUUAGGUCCUUUCCGGGACUUAGUGCCGCAGCUAACGCAUUAAGCACUCCGCCUGGGGAGUACGACCGCAAGGUUG
rnacentral:rRNA from 1 species